rnacentral:snRNA from 1 species
GGAAUUGCUUUCAACAAGCU